UUGUAGAAGUAGGCCAUUCUUAGAUGACUUUUAUUUUUGUAGGGUCAACAUUGACCCCAUUUUUGUUCACAACAAAACCUAAGAAAACUACAUUAUCUACACAGAAAAUACAUUUCUCACUACACGAAAAUAUAGUUUUAGUAGGGGAUUAUUAGGUGGGGUUUCAAUAGCCUCUGGUAAAAACUUAAGUUAGAGGAAAUUUUAGAAAACGUAUCGAGGGUUUCUUGAAACCCCGGUAAAGUUUGAAUAUUUCCUUGUUUUUUUAUUUUUAAUUUUUUUUAUAAUUUUUAAAAAUUAGACAGAGUUUCUCAUUUCCGUGCGAACCCUAGAAAGAAGGACAUGUUCUCGGUCGUUCUCUCUCGAUGUUUCACCAUUCUCCACCGUUCUUCGCCGUUCUCUCUCGAUGUUUCACCAUUCUUCUUUGAUGUUCCAUCGUUCUCCGUCGUUCUCUCUCGAUGUUCCACCAUUCUCCUCUGAUGCUCCACCGUUCUCCCUCGAUGUUUGAAGGUCUAGUUAUUCGAAGAGGGCAGAUGAUACUGAGGAUUUAUCAUAAACCUUAGAGAGUGCCAAUAAAGAAGACAUUAAGAAAUUCAGUAAAGGAUGUGUGAAGAAGUUUUCUGUAAAGUGACCAAUAAUUAAUAUUGAUCCAAUUGGGAAUUCAACAGCCUAGAAAGAGCGGAAGGGAACUUUUCAUCACUCUGGUUGCUGCCAGGUUAAUCAAUUUAUAUCAUGAAUAAAUGCACAGGUUAUGCAAACAAUAUUCAUUGUAUUUUAAUGGAGUUAGCUUGUUCAACCAGUUUCUAUUUGAAAUUAUUUAUAUCAAAGAAUACUGUCACUUUUAUGUUAUUUGGUCAUUUUUAAUAAUCUCAAUUUGAAAUUAAUAUAGUAGAGAUGUAUCAAGCAAAUCUAAAAAGAAAAGAAAACAAAGGCUAUGAUCUGUUGAAUAUAUUGAUAUCUACUAAAAUUGAUUCAUCAAUCAAAGUGUCUUACACCUUAAAUUUCUUAAGACUCCAUUAUCUAGUACCAUAUAUUUGCAUUAUUCACAAACUUUAGCUUGGGUAUGAUAGUCAGUAACAAACUUUAGCUAAGUGGUCAUGGACGUGUUUUUGUAAGGCUUCCCUCGUGCAGAUUAUUUUAGCUAAGUUAUUUGUUAAAGUUAUAUAUUGUUUUACAUUUCUUUGUGGUAGAAAUGCUUAAACAUAAAUUAGCAAUUCUAAUACCUUAUUGUCAUUUUAAAUAUAGCUUGUUUGCACAGUAACUCCAUCAUCAAGUAGUACUGAAGAGACACAUAACACAUUGAAGUUUGCUCACAGGACAAAGUACAUUGAAAUACGGGCAUCACAAAACAAGGUUUUUGGGUGCGCCUCAACUCUUUUGAUCGUUUUUCAGAUAUCUUGCUCCAUGUUCAUUUGUCUGGUAUCAAGAUUUACAGCUGGACUGAAAGCGAAAAUUGGAGUAUUUUUCCCCAUGAAAUUGCUCCAUUUUCAUUUUCUUAGAAUGCAUAUACUAUUUGAAGUUAGUGUUUUAUUUAAUAGCUUCGGGACAUCAUUAACUUCUAUUGUGCCUGUUGCAGAAUACUUUCCAGGUCAAGAUUAGUGGAUUCUAUUUGAUGUCCAAUAUAUUCUCAUUGAAAAAUAUGAUUUACUUUUUGUUUAUAUUAUGGCUCAAGAUACAUGUAGGAAGUUUAUUAAUUAACUAAGUGGCUGUGAAAAUAACUUCUUAUUUUGUAC